AUUGAACGCUGGCGGCAGGCCUAACACAUGCAAGUCGAACGAGAGGCGGACGGGAGAGUACUGACUGGGACCCUGCCCGAUGGAGGGGGAUAACUACUGGAAACGGUAGCUAAUACCGCCCACCACCAGAUGUGCCCCGAUGGGAUUAGCUUGGUGGUGGGGUAACGGCUCACCAAGGCGACGAUCCCUAGCUGGUCUGCGAGGAUGACCCGCCACACUGGAACUGAGACACGGGCCAGAAUCCUACGGGAGGCAGCAGUGGGGAAUAUUGCACAAUGGGCGAAAGCCUGAUGCAGCCAUGCCGCGUGUAUGAAGAAGGCCUUCGGGUUGUAAAGUACUUUCAGCGGGGAGGCGUUACCCGCAGAAGAAGCACCGGCUAACUCCGUGCCAGCCGCCGCGGUAAUUC
rnacentral:rRNA from 1 species